GAUGAAGAACGCAGCGAAAUGCGAUAGGUAGUGUGAAUUGCAGAUGUAACGUGAAUCAUCGAAUCUUUGAACGCAAAUUGCACUCUCUGGUAUUCCGGGGAGUAUGCCUGUUUGAGGGUCGCCAAAUCAACAUCGAAAUUCAUUUGCUUUUUGCAAAUGUUUAUCGGAUUUGAGCCGUCUUUUUAUUUUUUUUUUAAAGUGGCUUAAAAUGUAUUUUUUUGGUAUCGAAAUACGUUAUUUUACGAUCCAAUCGAUCAAAAAACAAACGUUUCGAAUGCCGUCUUUUAAUGUAAUACGUUUGACUGUGUAUACAAUCAUGGUUUCAUUCGUAUACGAGUUUUUAAUUUUUGACCUCAAAUCAGGUAAGAACACCCGCUGAACUUAAGCAUAUCAAUAAGCGGAGGA
rnacentral:misc_RNA from 1 species